GCUAUCAUCAUCACCAUCAUCAUCACCAUCAUCAUCAUCAUCAGCAGCAGCAGCAGUACAGGGCGGCAUAGAUCCCUAAUUGGCCUUGCACUUACUGUGUUGCUGAGGAUAACUCCCAGUCCUCCCGUGUCUAUCUCCCGGGUCCUGAGAUCUCGGCCUCCCUCCCUCAGGUCCCCCAGGGUUGGUCAUCACUUCUCCAUUGCUUCUGCCCUCACAAGCCCAUACAGCCAUGCCAGUGAGAUGGCUCGCCCCAGGGAAAGGCACUCAAAGGCCGCUAAGCCUUUGAGAUCUGAGCUCAAUCUCCUGGGAAGCCACAUGGAGAAGGAAAGAACAAGUUCCUGCAAGUUGCCCUCUGACCUCCAGAUGUGUGCUGACACAUGUGCACUCCCGUAAGUAAAUAAAUAUACU
rnacentral:lncRNA from 1 species